UACAGAGGGUGCAAGCGUUAAUCGGAAUUACUGGGCGUAAAGCGUGCGUAGACGGUUAUGUAAGUCCGAUGUGAAAGCCCAGGGCUCAACCUUGGAAUUGCAUUUGAGACUGCAUAGCUAGGGUGCGGAAGAGGGAAGCGGAAUUUCCGGUGUAGCGGUGAAAUGCGUAGAUAUCGGAAGGAACACCAGUGGCGAAAGCGGCUUCCUGGUCCAGCACCGACGUUCAGGCACGAAAGCGUGGGGAGCAAACAGG
rnacentral:rRNA from 1 species